ensembl:lncRNA
GGGUUUAAGCGACAUUUUUAUGCUUGUUCAAUAAGCAAAAUAUAAAGUAAGCAAUUAUUGCACAUGCACCUGUGGAACAGUCCUUUAGACAUUUACAGUUUUGCAGGUGCCAGGCAAUAAAGGUCACAGUUAUUAAUAAUUCUGGACAGUAAAGAGACCUUUCUAGUGAUUCUGAAUAACACUGGGUUCCUUAACAUGCCAUAGUCCUGCUGCAGGGAGACAUAAGGACUGCAGAUGUGGCCAGAGCUAUAAACUGCAAUGUCCGUAGUGUAAGAAAAGGAAAAGCUGCUUGUCCUUGUAGUAACUCUGUGUCCCUCAAGACAUGUCCAGAAACUUGCGAGCACCUUGGUGGAGGAAUGGCAUACCAUCUCGGAGUUGCUGAAUCUUUUAGGUGUGUGCAAAUAUUACAUGUUAAGAAACUUGCUGGAAUUAAAAGCAGUUGAAAGUAAGAGGAUCUUAGAGUCUUAAACUUACAUAGAGCUAAAAGUCACCUUAAGAUUUUUAUAGAGCACAACAUUACUUUUGCACAAAACCAGCCCUGAAACUUUUGCCUUUAUUUAAUACUAGACUGAUUCACGCAAACCAGAGUCUGGGUUGUCUGCUUGCAAGUAAAUAUGAUUUUACUUAAUUUCUGAAGAAACAACUAGUAACUCAAUGGGCACAGACUUCAAUUAAAACACUUUAUUUUUGACACUUAAAAUCUGUUUUCUUUGUCAAAAAGCACAAUACAAACUAUAGCAGGCUAUACUAGGUCUCUAGAACUUAGGUUUUAGGUUAGGCUUCUUUCCUUUGGGAGUAAGACUCCUCAAGACAGUCAAUGGUUUGUUCAGCAGCAGCUCCAGACCUUCUCUCUUGGACCUCCGAGGGGAACAGCAGUCUUUUAAGCCAUCUUGCAGCUUUCUAGCAGAGCCGUUUCUGUUGCUUGUGGAAUUUGAAGAUGUCGGUGAAGCCAAGGAAUCCACGGGCGCUCUCGUUUCUUUACACCGUCCCCGUUUAUGGAACAAGGACUCUCUCCGGUUGACGCUGGGGCUGGCAGCCAAGGUCCGGAAGCCAUAAGGUGUGGUGACCUUUCCAACGUGUUCCAGAGACAUGGCUGCACACGUCGAAGGGUCUGAGAGAUCCUCUGUGGAAGAUUUCUGCAGACGUUUCAGCUUCAUCCGAGGGGUGAAACGAAAUUUGGCGGAAAUGCUUGGCGAGCCAGUGGGAGGCUGAUGUCCAGGAGACUGACGUCCAGGAGACUCUUCUUCUGGGCUUUCUGGAGAUAAAAGCUUAUACGUGUCCUCAUCUUUUCCUUUCUGGCAACACAGCCGAGGAGACAUGGAUAACUUGGGAGGAAGAGUAAAUUUUGGGAUUCUUCCAGGGGUUAGGGGUAGAAUUUGUCUGGAGAACCCUUUGGGUGUCAUGAUGUUCUCCAAACUGGCCGCUCCACAAGCAAACAUUUCUCAAACUUUACAGACAAAAACAACUGGCUUCUCGGAUUCUCCUACAAGCUACCGAGCAUUUAUUCACAAGAGGUCUCGUUAACUUGUUAAAUGUUUCUCAUGAGUAGCAGGUGAACAUCAUUAGAGUUUCACACUUGAUUGGCUGACAGCAAAUUCCACUCAAAUCGUUUUUUAGUGUUAAAAUAUACUCUUGUAUUGUGUCUCUUCUAUAUAUGUUAAUAAAUAAAUACAAGAAAAGACUACUAGAUUGAUUCCCCGUGCAACACAGCAAGGUUGUCCCAAAUGGUGGGGUUAUCAGUGUUUUUGAAAACAAAUGUUUGUAAACAAUUAUUAUUCUUAUUAUUUCGUUGAAACUAGUGGUGCAGAAAUUACACAUUUACCUGUAAUUUGCUAAGUCCGAGGGUUCGGCAAACUUUAUUAAUAUAAGCAAACACUUUCUUUAAAAACAUAAAAUAAAAGUGCACAGCUAGUUCCGGCCAGGUUUUGAUCGCGUUGCAGAUUCAUAUCACUGCGCCAAAUUAUUUUCAGGUGUUUCAGAUACCCUUC